GCUGUAGUGGUGUAAGGGUAACAUCUAAGCUUCCCAUGUCAUUAAUAAUGAGCCUGCUUAGGCACCGAGUUCGAGUCUCGGCUACAGCA